rnacentral:rRNA from 1 species
UACGAGGGGGGCGAGCGUUGUUCGGAAUUAUUGGGCGUAAAGGGUGCGUAGGCGGUUUGGUAAGUCUUAUGUGAAAUCUAUGGGCUCAACUCAUAGUCUGCAUGAGAAACUGCCGGGCUUGAGUAUGGGAGAGGUGAGUGGAAUUCCUGGUGUAGCGGUGAAAUGCUUAGAUAUCAGGAGGAACACCUGUGGCGAAAGCGGCUCACUGGACCAUAACUGACGCUGAUGCACGAAAGCUAGGGGAGCAAACAGG